rnacentral:rRNA from 1 species
AGAGUUUGAUCCUGGCUCAGGAUGAACGCUAGCUACAGGCUUAACACAUGCAAGUCGAGGGGCAGCAUGGUCUUAGCUUGCUAAGGCCGAUGGCGACCGGCGCACGGGUGAGUAACACGUAUCCAACCUGCCGUCUACUCUUGGACAGCCUUCUGAAAGGAAGAUUAAUACAAGAUGGCAUCAUGAGUCCGCAUGUUCACAUGAUUAAAGGUAUUCCGGUAGACGAUGGGGAUGCGUUCCAUUAGAUAGUAGGCGGGGUAACGGCCCACCUAGUCUUCGAUGGAUAGGGGUUCUGAGAGGAAGGUCCCCCACAUUGGAACUGAGACACGGUCCAAACUCCUACGGGAGGCAGCAGUGAGGAAUAUUGGUCAAUGGGCGAGAGCCUGAACCAGCCAAGUAGCGUGAAGGAUGACUGCCCUAUGGGUUGUAAACUUCUUUUAUAAAGGAAUAAAGUCGGGUAUGGAUACCCGUUUGCAUGUACUUUAUGAAUAAGGAUCGGCUAACUCCGUGCCAGCAGCCGCGGUAAUACGGAGGAUCCGAGCGUUAUCCGGAUUUAUUGGGUUUAAAGGGAGCGUAGAUGGAUGUUUAAGUCAGUUGUGAAAGUUUGCGGCUCAACCGUAAAAUUGCAGUUGAUACUGGAUAUCUUGAGUGCAGUUGAGGCAGGCGGAAUUCGUGGUGUAGCGGUGAAAUGCUUAGAUAUCACGAAGAACUCCAAUUGCGAAGGCAGCCUGCUAAGCUGCAACUGACAUUGAGGCUCGAAAGUGUGGGUAUCAAACAGGAUUAGAUACCCUGGUAGUCCACACGGUAAACGAUGAAUACUCGCUGUUUGCGAUAUACUGCAAGCGGCCAAGCGAAAGCGUUAAGUAUUCCACCUGGGGAGUACGCCGGCAACGGUGAAACUCAAAGGAAUUGACGGGGGCCCGCACAAGCGGAGGAACAUGUGGUUUAAUUCGAUGAUACGCGAGGAACCUUACCCGGGCUUAAAUUGCAGAUGAAUUACGGUGAAAGCCGUAAGCCGCAAGGCAUCUGUGAAGGUGCUGCAUGGUUGUCGUCAGCUCGUGCCGUGAGGUGUCGGCUUAAGUGCCAUAACGAGCGUAACCCUUGUUGUCAGUUACUAACAGGUUCUGCUGAGGACUCUGACAAGACUGCCAUCGUAAGAUGUGAGGAAGGUGGGGAUGACGUCAAAUCAGCACGGCCCUUACGUCCGGGGCUACACACGUGUUACAAUGGGGGGUACAGAGGGCCGCUACCACGCGAGUGGAUGCCAAUCCCAAAAACCUCUCUCAGUUCGGACUGGAGUCUGCAACCCGACUCCACGAAGCUGGAUUCGCUAGUAAUCGCGCAUCAGCCACGGCGCGGUGAAUACGUUCCCGGGCCUUGUACACACCGCCCGUCAAGCCAUGGGAGCCGGGGGUACCUGAAGUGCGUAACCGCGAGGAGCGCCCUAGGGUAAAACUGGUGACUGGGGCUAAGUCGUAACAAGGUAGCCG